rnacentral:rRNA from 1 species
AUUGAACGCUGGCGGCAGGCUUAACACAUGCAAGUCGAACGAUGAAACCUAGCUUGCUAGGUGGAUUAGUGGCGGACGGGUGAGUACAACUUAGGAAUCUACUUUUAGCGGGGGAUAGUCGGGGAAACUCGAAUUAAUACCGCAUACACCUUACGAGGGAAAGGGGGCUUUUAGCUCUCACUAAAAGAUGAGCCUAAGCAAGAUUAGCUAGUUGGUGGGGUAAAAGCCUACCAAGGCGACGAUCUUUAGCUGGUCUGAGAGGAUGAUCAGCCACACUGGGACUGAGACACGGCCCAGACUCCUACGGGAGGCAGCAGUGGGGAAUAUUGGACAAUGGGGGCAACCCUGAUCCAGCCAUGCCGCGUGUGUGAAGAAGGCCUUUUGGUUGUAAAGCACUUUAAGCAGUGAGGAAAAGCUAUAUGUUAAUACCAUAUAGCCCUGACGUUAACUGCAGAAUAAGCACCGGCUAACUCUGUGCCAGCAGCCGCGGUAAUACAGAGGGUGCAAGCGUUAAUCGGAAUUACUGGGCGUAAAGAGAACGUAGGUGGUCAACUAAGUCAGAUGUGAAAUCCCUGAGCUCAACUUAGGAACUGCAUCUGAUACUGAUUGACUAGAGUAGGUGAGAGGAGAGUAGAAUUCCAGGUGUAGCGGUGAAAUGCGUAGAUAUCUGGAGGAAUACCGAUGGCGAAGGCAGCUCUCUGGCAUCAUACUGACACUGAGGUUCGAAAGCGUGGGUAGCAAACGGG